rnacentral:rRNA from 1 species
ACGUAGGGGGCGAGCGUUGUCCGGAAUCACUGGGCGUAAAGCGCACGUAGGCGGGCUGUCAAGUCGGCCGUGAAAGGCACGGGCUCAACCUGUGCAUGUCGGGCGAUACUGGCGGUCUGGGGUAUGGGAGAGGGGAGUGGUACUCCCGGUGUAGGGGUGAAAUGCGUUGAUCCCGGGGGGACCACCUGUGGCGAAGGCGUCUUCCUGGCACAGGUCUGACGCUGAGGAACGAAAGCCGGGGGAGCAAACCG